AUGGGCUCCAAAACACCAGAUCGUUGGCCAGUAAUAAUCGGAUAACACUGCACACUCAUUCUGAAGAAAUCGCCGAAAUGGGCCAUCUUUACCGAAAAUCUUUGGCUUCUGCACCACAUGCAAAAAAUAAUAGGCAAGGACGAACAUGCACAUAUCUCCCUUACUGUGACAGAUGUAGAUUCAGUCUACCUGUGUUGGAACCUUAUCGUGUUGGCAACACGGCUGAGAUAGACGAGAUAAAAAAGAAGAAGCCGGUUGCCAUGUAGAAGUGCCACUUGUGCCGCAAGGGCUUCUGGGAUCGCACGAGGUAGUCUUGUAGAAGUUCUACUUGGGUUGGUAUUCCAAGGGACUUCAGAUCCAUCUUCAACAACGCUUGCAACGGAAAUAAUUGUGUAUUAUUGUGAUUAUGUUGACCAGGCACUCAUCUGUAUAAUUGUUUAAAUUAAAAAGAUGCAAUGAUCUAUUUGUAAGAAAAUUGACUAGGGAUUAAACUUUGUAUUCAAUACACACAUUUUCUGCU